UAAGAGGCGUCACUGAGCCUCCUCUGCUCAGUUUACAGCUCAAUAUAACUAUAACUGAGCUGCUGAUUCUGUCUGAGCUUCAUAUCAGACAGUUGCAGGUCAUCCAGGUCUUAAUGUCCUUCAAGCUUCAACUUUAACUCACUGAUUGGUUUCAUCAGCUUCUUUAACAAAUAUACUAUCAUAUAUAAUAAUAGAUAAUAGAGCAUCAUCUGCAUAACAAUGAACGUUUCCUAAAGGAAGCAAAUACAAGGUGAAUCUGAUCCAAGACCAGAACCUUGAGGAACUCUGUGUCUAAGGACUGUCAGGACUUUUAUUUGUAAUGAGUAUUUGUACUCUGUGGUGUCAGUACUUUUACUGAAGCAGAUCUGAGUACUGAAGGUGCAGUCUGACACCAGUGAUCAGUAAUUAUUGAUCAUGUGAUCAGUUUUUAAUCUGUUUCCAUGAAGCUGUCAAACGAAUUUAAACUGAACUUCGAGGCUGUGUCGUGUCGUCAGAAGGUGGCGCUAUAGGCCACGUCACACAGAGCUGGAAUUAACAGAGUAGAAGAAGAAGGAGAGGCCAGGAACAGGAAACAGGAAGUUGUUCAGCAAUCACCAAAAAAACAUAGAAGAAACUGAGAGAAACACUGAGAGAGGAUUCAGGACGUUUCAAACCGCCGUGUUCUCAGACGUUAUAAAAGACGCCAGAUACUGUUUCUUCUUCUUCUGCUUCUUCUUCUUCUUCUUCGUCUUUUGUGAAGAGGAAGUGGAAACAGCUGAUCAGUCAUGUGAGUGAAGCACACCUUUUUAAAAAACAAUGAAAACCACAACAGGAAAUAACCAGGUCUCUGUUUCCACUUCCUGUUAAACUGCUGCUGAGUCUCUCUUCAUCUCCUGGAGGAAAAGCUGAAACCAAAUGAAACCAACAGAGCUGCUGUCACUCAGAGUGGCCUCAGACAUCAGAUCAGAUCAGAUGUGGUUGUAUUGUGUUAGCGUCUGGGAGCUGGAUGGAGACGGAGACGAGCAGGGAAACGUCUCUGUUGUGGACUCAGGACGAGGACGUGGAUUCACUGAGGUCAGUGUUGUUCAUCCAGUCGUCCUGCUGCAGUGUGUGGUGAGUUUACAGCUGGUUGGACAGUGUCUCCCUCACUCUCUGAAGGACAUUUAACAUCAGCCGUCCUGAAUCUGAGACAUCACAUGAUCAGUCGUCUGGUUUCCUGCUCUGUGAUUGGCUGUUAGUUCAGGAAGUGUUUGAUCACGUUUGUUUAACUGUGCAGCCUGAGCUCAGACUGUUUCAGAGAGUUUCUGUUACUCAGCCUGCACUCGUUGAGAUUAAUGAGGUGGACAUAUUAAUAGAAACACCUGUGUUAACUGGUUCUGCCUCUAAAGUCAGGUGUUGAUCUGGUCUUUGGUUUGGAGUCCAGUCCACUGAAGUCCUGUUGGUCUGUCCACUGCUGUUCGACCACUAAACUCUCUCCAGACUCUCUGACCUGGUUCUUGUGUAGGUGUAGAGGAGGUUCAUAGAGUCUGAGUCUUUUGUGGACCAGUUCUGGUUUUGGAACCAGGUCCUGGAUUUGUCUUGGCUGUAAGAUCACAAACCGUCAUCCAGACGAUGAAAACAUAUUGAUGUAAACAGUGGAUUUUACAACAUGAAAUAAACGAGAGACUGUUU